rnacentral:rRNA from 1 species
AUUGAACGCUGGCGGCAUGCCUAACACAUGCAAGUCGAACGAGUGGCGGACGGGUGAGUCAUGUCUGUGAAACUGCCUGAUGGAGGGGGAUAACUACUGGAAACGGUAGCUAAUACCGCAUACCAUCGGAUGUGCCCAGAUGGGAUUAGCUAGUAGGUGGGGUAAAGGCUCACCUAGGCGACGAUGCCUAGCUGGUCUGAGCGGAUGACCAGCCAAACGGGAACUGUGACACGGUCCAGACUCCUACGGGGGGCAGCAGUGGGGAAUAUUGCACAAUGGGCGAAAGCCUGAUGCAGCCAGGCGGCGUGUGUGAUGAGGGCCUUGGGGUUGUAAAGUCCUUUCAGCGGGGAGGCGUUACCCGAAGAGGAAGCAACGGCUAACUCCGUGCCAGCAGCCGCGGUAAUAC